rnacentral:lncRNA from 1 species
CUGGGAUUGCAGGGCUGCACCACCAGGCCUGGCUCUGGCCAGGAUGAAUUUUAAAGGUCACCGAUUCAGAGAGAGCAGCCUGAAGAGCAGGCGCGCGGUAUGGCGUGUGAGGCCCUGCGUGGGGGCCUCUGGGGAAGCCGGUGAGUCAGCCGCCUUCUCUCUAAUAGCGUUCACCUCCGCGCGAGGAGUAAUAGGAGAGGCCGUCAUUAGCCAAGGUGUGAGUAACAGGGUUCAAACUCAAGAGGGACUCGGUGUGUUCCGCUGGGGAAGGGUGAGCUGGGGCUCUUCCCUGCCUGCGGAGGAGGCGCAGACCGCGGAGUCCAAGCCCAGGGACGGCGAUGAGUCCCUUAGACACCGGCCCAGGACGGAGACCCACAGGAACACGUCUGGGAGACCCUUCACCAUUCACCUGGGCCACCUUUGCACAGGUUGAGGAAUGUGGCGUGGACACAGAGCGAACAUGAGCCUGCUCUUCUGCACUCCCUUUCGUCAGAGCGGAGGUGGUGCCGGGAGGAGGAGCCAUCUGUGGAGUCCAAGCAGCAAUGUGUGACUAGCAUUUGCAGGCGCCGUGUGCGUGGCCAGAAACGGACACUACGUGGCCCUGCUUGGGCCUCUAUGGUGGCAGGGCCUAGGGCAUGGAGAAAUGAGCCAGAGAAGGGGCCGUGAAAGUCUUGAAAGUAGACUUGACAUUCGUGGAGGAGCUUGGUGUGCUGAGACGCAGGUGACCGUGCUGGGGCAUAUUUACUAGGCCCUGCUGCCUCUUCCCCAUGAGCAGGGCAUGGUGGGAACAAGCCCAGGGUAGGGAUCUCCACAGCCUGGAGCCCAAGGAGGAGCCCACUCCACCAAGUCAGAGGUGGAACUCAGGAAGGCCUGCUGAGAAGCUCAUAGAAGCAGAUUGUUUUGGUUUGUUCUGACUGAAUACCAGGCCGCCCUGUGGGAGAAUUUCACAGAGGGUGAUUUGUCCUCAAUAGGAGGCAAUGUUGCCAGCCAGGGAUAUUUGGGGAUGUAUAGAGACAUUUUUGGUUGUUACAACUGAAAGUUUCCUGGGUAACGGCUACAAAAUAUCCUACAGUGCUGUCCUACGGGAUAGUGAGUCCCCCAUACAAACUAACGAGGAUCCAGCCCCAAAUGUCAAUAGCACUGGGGUCUGACAAAUAAAUUUUUAGUAUCUUUUUCCCUAAGUUGUUAGUGCCCUGUGUGAGGUGUGGUGUGUGAGAGGCUGGUGCCACUGGUGGUAAAGAGAAUUUACCCAUAGCCAAGAAACACAGAAAAGUUAAGAGUUUAUUGGGCUGGGGAUUUCAGUGGUUCUGCCCCCCUGCCUCGAAAGUGCAAGGUCCCAAGUUCGAUCCCUGGUAACAACAAAGAAAAAAGUCCCUUAAAAAAAAAAAAAAGUUUAUUGAUGCAGUGCAUUGGGGAAGGCAUAGAGAGGAUGUGUUCCAGAGAAGUCAGAGUGAAGGCUGAGAUUUUUAGAUUUGAUUUUAACCUGAGGAGGGGUCUAGAAACGUGGGCAUGGGGUUCCCGUGUCCGUCCAUCCCAGGUCUGAAGAGGGCAGAGAGUGUUUGAAGACUGAUGUGAAGUUUUUGUUCGACAGGGUCCAGGGCCCUUGGCAUUGCUAGAAACAGUCCUUCUGGGUAAAAUAAAUUAACAAAUAUGUAAAGAUUGUCUAAUGUUAGUGGUCAAGGAGAUCAGAAUAAACUAUAUAUGUGUGUGCUUGAGAAGGACUUUUGAGUUGUAUUGGGAUAGGGGAAGAAAUGGCUAGAUUAUCUGUGAUGUAUGCAUAGUUCUUAGGCAUAGCUCAUGAGGUGGAAGUUAAUGUUCUACCACAGACCCACCACUCAGGUGCAGUGUGCACUUUAGAGAAACAAUGAUAAAAUAACCAUGAUUCCUAAUAACUAGGUUACUCAGGCUAGGCUAAGAUUUGUGAUCCUGCUUCAGCCUCCCAGAAUGCUGGGAUUAUAAGCCUGUGCCACCAUGUCCGGC